CAAAAACAUAGCCCUAGAUAUAAUCUAAGGUGUAACCUGCCCAGUGGUUUUAAAGUAAAAAAGAUUAAAAUACCUUUAAUAAAACUAAAAGGACGCGGUAACCUUGACCGUGAUAAUGUAGCAUAAUCACUCGCCAUUUAAUUGAUGGAUAGUAUGAAUGGUUGAACGAAUAUUUCACUGUCUUAAAAAAAAUCAAAUAAAAUUAAAAUAAUAGUUAAGAUGCUAUUUUAAAUUGUAAGACGAAAAGACCCUAUAGAGCUUAACUACAACUUUCUUUUUUAUUAUGAAAACAAUAAUUUCACAACUAAGAAAGUGGGUAGUUUAGUUGGGGCGACUACCUUCUAUAUAUAACGAAGGUAAGCAAAGUUAAUAAAUAACUUAUUAUAUAAAUAAAAUUUUUAAUAAUUACAAAAGUAGGCUAUAAUGACCCGUUAAUCUUUAAUAAAAAAAUUAACGAUCAAUUAAUAAAAGCUACCU
rnacentral:rRNA from 1 species